rnacentral:rRNA from 1 species
UGAAUACGAGACGCUAAGGCGUCGAAGUAGUGUAUGUCAUACUUCCAAGAAAAGCUUGCACUGUCAUAGAUAAAAAACGCCUGUACCAUAACCGACACAGGUGGGUAGGUAGAGUAUACUAAGGGGCGCGAGAUAACUCUCUCUAAGGAACUCGGCAAAAUAACUCCGUAACUUCGGGAGAAGGAGUGCCUUAUUCGUAAGGUUGCAAUAACAAGAUCCAAGCAACUGUUUAUCAAAAACACAGGUCUCCGCUAAGUCGUAAGACGAUGUAUGGGGGCUGACGCCUGCCCAGUGCCAGAAGGUUAAAGAAGUUGGUUAGCAAUUGCGAAGCUGAUAACUGAAGCCCUGGUGAACGGCGGCCGUAACUAUAACGGUCCUAAGGUAGCGAAAUUCCUUGUCGGGUAAGUUCCGACCCGCACGAAAGGCGUAAUGAUUUGGAUACUGUCUCGGAGAGGGGCUCGGUGAAAUAGACUUGUCUGUGAAGAUGCGGACUACCUGCACCAGGACAGAAAGACCCUAUGAAGCUUUACUGUAACUUGAAAUUGAAAUUGGACUUUAUUCGCGCAGUAUAGGUGGGAGGCGUUGAUUAUAAUCUUGUGGGAUUAUUGGAGCCAUCAGUGAGAUACCACUCUUGUAAUGUUAGAUUUCUAACUUUGAAUCAUUAUCUGGUCAAAGAACAGUUUCAGGCGGGCAGUUUGACUGGGGCGGUCGCCUCCUAAACGGUAACGGAGGCGUACAAAGGUUUCCUCUGAACGGUUAGAAAUCGUAUCUAGAGUGUAAAGGCAUAAGGAAGCUUGACUGUGAGACCUACAAGUCGAGCAGGGACGAAAGUCGGUCUUAGUGAUCUGACGGUACUGAGUGGAAAGGCCGUCACUCAACGGAUAAAAGUUACUCUAGGAUAACAGGCUGAUCUCCCCCAAGAGUUCACAUCGACGGGGAGGUUUGGCACCUCGAUGUCGGCUCAUCGCAUCCUGGGGCGGUAGUACGUCCCAAGGGUUGGGCUGUUCGCCCAUGAAAGCGGUACGCGAGCUGGGUUCAGAACGUCGUGAGACAGUUCGGUCCAUAUCCGGUGUAGGCGUUAGAAUAUUGAGAGGAGCCUUCUUUAGUACGAGAGGACCGAGAAGGACAUACCUCUGGUGUACCAGUUAUCGUGCCAACGGUAAACGCUGGGUAGCUAUGUAUGGAGUGGAUAACCGCUGAAAGCAUCUAAGUGGGAAGCCCACCUCAAGAUAAGUAUUCUCAC